UACAGAGGGUGCGAGCGUUGUUCGGAUUUACUGGGCGUAAAGCGCACGUAGGCGGAUAUUUAAGUCAGGGGUGAAAUCCCGGGGCUCAACCCCGGAACUGCCUUUGAUACUGGGUAUCUUUGAGUCCGGAAGAGGUGAGUGGAAUUCCGAGUGUAGAGGUGAAAUUCGUAGAUAUUCGGAGGAACACCAGUGGCGAAGGCGGCUCACUGGUCCGGUACUGACGCUGAGGUGCGAAAGCGUGGGGAGCAAACAGG
rnacentral:rRNA from 1 species